CGCGAACGCCAGCAGGGGGCUUAAGACAUGCAAGUCGUGCGCGAAAGUCCGAAAGGAUGUGUAGCGCGGCAAACGGGUGAGUAACGCGUGGUUAACCUUCCCUCCGGAUCGGGAUAACCCCUCGAAAGGGGGGAUAAUACCGGGUACGCUUGAUUGGACUGCGGUCCGAUCAUGAAAAGAUGGCCUAUGCUUGCAAGCUAUCACCGGGGGAUGGGGCCGCGUCCCAUCAGCUAGUUGGUAGGGUAACGGCCUACCAAGGCUAAGACGGGUAGCUGGUCUGAGAGGACGACCAGCCACACUGGCACUGAGAUACGGGCCAGACUCCUACGGGAGGCAG
rnacentral:rRNA from 1 species